rnacentral:rRNA from 1 species
GACGAACGCUGGCGGCGUGCUUAACACAUGCAAGUCGAACGGUAAGGCUCCAGCUUGCUGGGGUACACGAGUGGCGAACGGGUGAGUAACACGUGGGUGACCUGCCCUGCGCUUCGGGAUAAGCCUGGGAAACUGGGUCUAAUACCGGAUAGGACCGCACCGUGAGGGUGUGGUGGAAAGUUUUUUCGGUGUGGGAUGGGCCCGCGGCCUAUCAGCUUGUUGGUGGGGUAAUGGCCUACCAAGGCGGCGACGGGUAGCCGGCCUGAGAGGGUGGACGGCCACAUUGGGACUGAGACACGGCCCAGACUCCUACGGGAGGCAGCAGUGGGGAAUAUUGCACAAUGGGCGGAAGCCUGAUGCAGCGACGCCGCGUGGGGGAUGACGGCCUUCGGGUUGUAAACUCCUUUCACCAUCGACGAAGGGUUUCUGACGGUAGAUGGAGAAGAAGCACCGGCUAACUACGUG